CCUGUCUCACUUCUCCUAUCUCACCCCUCCUCACCCCUUUCUCCUGUCUCACUUCCCCUAUCUCUCACCCCUCCUCACCCCUUUAACCUGUCUCACUCCUCCUAUCUCUCACCCCUCCUCACCCCUUUAACCUGUCUCACUUCUCCUAUCUCUCACCCCUCCUCACCCCUUCCUCCUGUCUCACUUCCCCUAUCUCUCACCCCUCCUCAUCCCUUUAACCUAUCUCACCCCUUUCACCUGUCUUACUUCUCCUAUCUCUCACCCCUCCUCACCCCUUUCACCUGUCUCACUUCUCCUAUCUCUCACCCCUUCCUCCUGUCUCACUUCCCCUAUCUCUCACCCCUCCUCAUCCCUUUAACCUAUCUCACUUCCCCUAUCUCACCCCUUUCACCUGUCUUACUUCUCCUAUCUCUCACCCCUCCUCACCCCUUUCACCUGUCUCACUUCUCCUAUCUCUCACCCCUUCCUCCUGUCUCACUUCCCCUAUCUCUCACCCCUCCUCACCCCUUUAACCUGUCUCACUUCCCCUAUCUCUCACCCCUCCUCACCCCUUUCACCUGUCUCACUUCUCCUAUCUCUCACCCCUCCUCACCCCUUUCACCUGUCUCACUUCCCCUGUCUCACUUCCCCUAUCUCUCACCCCUUUCACCUGUCUCACUUCUCCUCUCUCACCCCUCCUCACUCCUUUCACCUGUCUCACUUCCCCUAUCUCUCACCCCUUUCACCUGUCUCACUUCCCCUAUCUCUCACCCCUUUCACCCGUCUCACUUCCCCUAUCUCUCACCCCUUUCACCUGUCUCACUUCCCCUAUCUCUCACCCCUUUCACCCGUCUCACUUCCCCUAUCUCUCACCCCUUUCACCCGUCUCACUUCCCCUAUCUCUCACCCCUUUCACUUCCCCUAUCUCUCACCCCUUUCACUUCCCCUAUCUCUCACCCCUUUCACUUCCCCUAUCUCUCACCCCUUUCACUUCCCCUAUCUCUCACCCCUUUCACUUCCCCUAUCUCUCACCCCUUUCACUUCCCCUAUCUCUCACCCCUUUCACUUCCCCUAUCUCUCACCCCUUUCACUUCCCCUAUCUCUCACCCCUUUCACUUCCCCUAUCUCUCACCCCUUUCACUUCCCCUAUCUCUCACCCCUUUCACUUCCCCUAUCUCUCACCCCUUUCACUUCCCCUAUCUCUCACCCCUUUCACUUCCCCUAUCUCUCACCCCUUUCACUUCCCCUAUCUCUCACCCCUUUCACUUCCCCUAUCUCUCACCCCUUUCACUUCCCCUAUCUCUCACCCCUUUCACUUCCCCUAUCUCUCACCCCUUUCACUUCCCCUAUCUCUCACCCCUUUCACUUCCCCUAUCUCUCACCCCUUUCCUUUCACUUCCCCUAUCUCUCACCCCUAUCUCUCACCCUAUCUCUCACCCCUAUCUCUCACCCCUAUCUCUCACCCCUAUCUCUCACCCCUUUCACUUCCCCUAUCUCUCACCCCUUUCACCUGUCUCACUUCCCCUAUCUCACCCCCUUCACCUGUCUCACUUCCCCUCUCUCUCACCCCUUUCACCUGUCUCACUUCCCCUGUCUCACUUCCCCUAUCUCUCACCCCUUUCACUUCCCCUAUCUCUCACCCCUUUCACUUCCCCUAUCUCUCACCCCCCUUUCACUUCCCCUAUCUCUCACCCCUAUCUCUCACCCCUAUCUCUCACCCCUAUCUCUCACCCCUAUCUCUCACCCCUAUCUCUCACCCCUUUCACUUCCCCUAUCUCUCACCCCUUUCACCUGUCUCACUUCCCCUAUCUCACCCCUUUCACCUGUCUCACUUCCCCUCUCUCUCACCCCUUUCACCUGUCUCACUUCCCCUGUCUCACUUCCCCUAUCUCUCACCCCUUUCACCUGUCUCACUUCCCCUAUCUUUCACCCCUUUCACCUGUCUCACCCCUUUCACCUGUCUCACUUCCCCUAUCUCUCACCCCUUUCACCUGUCUCACUUCCCCUAUCUCUCACCCCUUUCACCUGUCUCACUUCCCCUAUCUCUCACUCCAAACCUAG
rnacentral:lncRNA from 1 species